AGUGGUUAGUACGACAAUGGUACGACUGCCUGCGAAGCAGAAAGUUCCGGGUUCAAUUCCCGCUGGGUUCACUC